AGUGAACGCUGGCGGUAGGCCUAACACAUGCAAGUCGAACGGCAGCACAGUAAGAGCUUGCUCUUACGGGUGGCGAGUGGCGGACGGGUGAGGAAUACAUCGGAAUCUACUUUUUCGUGGGGGAUAACGUAGGGAAACUUACGCUAAUACCGCAUCCGCCCUACGGGUGAAAGCAGGGGAUCUUCGGACCUUGCGCGAUUGAAUGCGCCGAUGUCGGAUUAGCUAGUUGGCGGGGUAAAGGCCCACCAAGGCGGCGAUCCGUAGCUGGUCUGAGAGGAUGGUCAGCCACACUGGAGCUGAGACACGGUCCAGACUCCUACGGGAGGCAGCAGAGGGGAAUAUUGGACAGUGGGCGCAAGCCUGAUCCAGCCAUACCGCGUGGGUGAAGAAGGCCUUCGGGUUGUAAAGCCCUUUUGUUGGGAAAGAAAAGCAGCAGGUUAAUACCCCGCUGUUCUGACGGUACCCAAAGAAUAAGCACCGGCUAACUUCGUG
rnacentral:rRNA from 1 species